UUCAACAAACAGAGGCCGGCCGCGUUCGCCCACA
rnacentral:sRNA from 1 species